rnacentral:lncRNA from 1 species
CUUUAAUGUCCCUUGCCAACCAAAGACAUUGUAUGAUUUUCUAUACUCACUCAUUACUCCAUAUUCACUCCAUAUUCAUUGCUUAGGUAGUAACUCAUUUUAUUUCUUCUUGAACUUAUAACAGCCCUGUAGAAUCAUUUGAAAAAUUCAGUGGAAAAGUCUUUCACAAACAGCUUCUUUUUCCUUUUUUCCUUCUUUUCCAUCCUCUUCUUCCCAAAACAGAGCUGAAAAGAUAAUUAAGGACACUCUCAUUCAAAUGAAAUUUCACUUUUCAGGUAGUAUUACUUCAGUUUAAUAUCAUCACAGCAUUUAAAACAAUUGGCUUUUUUUUUCCUUUAUUCUAUAUGGUAUUUUGAAUGUUAUGCAAGUUUUUAAUGUAUGUAUUAGAUUUUACGAUAUAGUAAUACGAACAACUGGGAAGAAUACUCUAUUAGGAUAGACUCCAGUUAAGCAAAGUAGCAUUAUGACAGAUAAUUCAAUCCUGCUGAUCUUAUUCAGGUUUCACUCACUCAAAAUCCAUGCUGAUAUCAAGAAAUGUAAUAUGAACUUCUUAAUUUGAUCUGCAGUUAAUUUUUUAUAAUUUAUUUUCAAACAGAAGAUAUAUCUGUUAAAGAUUGAAUUGAGUUAUUCCAACCACUGCCUUGCUUAGCAGGUGGUGUGAAAUAGCCUUGUCUCAGGAAGAGCAAUUCAAGAUAUUGCAUCUUUUCACAGUGCUGAGAAGCCUAUGACCUGGUAGACCUUUGCCCACUUUGUUUUCCUGCUUGUAAUUGUAGCUGUCACUGUGAAGUAGUGUUUGCAGUUCACUGUCAGAGACACUUGUCCCGAAUGCCCCCUUUCACUCCCAUGCAGGUGGAUGCAACUUUAGAGAAGCCCUCUCUAUAUAGUCCAGGCUAAAAAUGCUGUACUGGAAGAAUGGAAGUGUUGCAAUACCACUAGCCAGAUGAACUUUUUUUGGCACCAGCACUACUUUUAUCAUGCACAAGAAAAAUACUUAGUUAAAGAUAUUUACCUGGCAUUCUCAUUGAUUCCAGACCUCAAACUGGAAACUAAGUUCCUCUAUUUCUGGCAGCUACCACUUUAUUUUCAUAGAGUAAGAACUGGCAAAUAACUUUCUGAAGGAAGCACAAGGCUUUUUAUUACAUGGUUUUCAAUUGUAGUGUUGCUGAACUUUUGCAGAUAUAAGCCAACACAGACUCUGCACUGGGUUAUAGAGCUCUGUGGACUGUUCUUAAGGGACUCUGGUGCUAUUUGAAAGAAAGGAAUGUGGCUAUCUAUGAUUGUAACAACUACAAUACUGCAUAGCUCUUAUAAAGAUUGAAUAGCACCUACAGAACUGAAAGGAACUGCUGGGAAGAACUCAAAAUACUUGCUAAAGGAAGCAAGCAUUUCAACCUCUGCCUUGAUAAUGGAGAGUUAGAUAAGAAGUGAAGCUGAAUGAUUUGGUUUAAGUCACUCAGCAGGUAAAAGAUAAUAAAAUGUAAUGGGCAAAACAGCAGUUGAGGGUGGAAGAUGCACCAGGAAAUGAAACACAGGAUGUAUUCUGAGCUGCCAUUUGUUUUGAGACCUGAACUCUCUAAUUUGUGGUAGAGAAAUACCACCAUCAUUACUGGAAUCCCACUCAGUUUUUCUAGGCAAUGGAAUGAAACAGCUAGACUAGUGUGUGCAUGCUGUGCACAUAUAAACAUUCUAGACUUGAAUUGAAGAAGCUUGUUACUAUCCUCUUUUGUCCAUUAUAGCUGUACUUUGCUAUAUCUGCAUUACCUCUUGCCGUGGUAAGUUAUGAUGUUUUAUGUUUGAUGAACAAGACAUAUGUAUCAUAAAACCAACAAGGACUUGAGUCUCCUGAUAGCAUCCAAUGCCUUCACUAUAUAGCAUUGAACACAACAGCAAUGGACCCUAAAAACUAUUAAACUUUAUAGCGCAGGCAAUUCUAGAAAUAGCAACAGUUUUAUUUUAUACCACUUUAUGGAUAAUUCUGAGGUAAUUAGGUAUUUUUUUGUCUAUUUUGAAAGUUUUCUUAACUAGCUUGAUCAAGGUAAGAAACUUUACUUUGUAAUGCAGAGUCAACAAAAAAAAAAAAACCACCAACAACAAAAAAAACUGUAGGAAUAUAAUCAAUGAUCUACAAAAUAUAUGCCUUUUAUAUAUGACAUCGUUUUUAUUUUCAAAAAAAAAAAAAAACCUAGUCCAUGAUAAAAACGACUUCAAAUGUAUACUGGGAAAAAAAAAAAAAAAAAAAAAAGGUUUUGCUGUCCCUUAGUUCAUAUUUACAUGACUUCAGAGUGCUUGGCUUACUUUAACUAUUUUGCUGUCCUGAUAGGUUUACCUACUUAAUACUUGUCAUUAUAGAAAAGUAUCUCCAAGUUCAUGGAUGGUUUUAUACAAUUUCCAAGUUGCGUGUUCCUGCAAUUAGUAGCAUGAGUUUAAUUUUGGUAGGGAAUAUGUCUCAAAAAUUGUUUUUGCAGCCUUUAUGAAAAUCUGUUUGUUUGGGAGAAAAUAAUGAGACAUCCAAAAAGUUACCUUUUGCCAACUCAGCUUUGUCAAUUUCCUACAAGAUGUACUAAAAUAUCUCUGUUACCCUAACCCACUGAUUGGAAUUCAUUUUCUUCUUAUGAGAAGUUACUUUAGUGUGGCAGCUAGGGAACUAUGAGGCGGAAUCAUCAACUAGCUUCAAGUACCUAGCUUUGGCCAUCAUAGGCGCCUAGGGUACCAAUAUAUUCAGUGGUGUGAUCUUUGCUUACAGAAAAGAAAUCAGAGUACCUAACAGUCUUCACAUGUACCUUAUUUUCUCCGUUGGGUGGUUGAAGAGACUAAUGUAUCUAAAAAAUACCUCCUUAUUCCACCUAAAUAUUCAAAUUAUCUCUUAAUCCACUGAUUUUAUUAGGAACUGAUUUUAGCUGGUUUCUCAUAGACCAGAGUAUGCUAAUAUUAUCAAGAAAUUAAACACAAACCAAAACUUUCUUAUAGACCUCAGUUCUCCCCUAAUUAGUUUACUCGAGGUUAAUAUAAUCAGUGCUCUGCCAUAGCUGCAUAAAGACAGUGUUGGUGUUAAUGUGGAGAAAAAGUACUGAAGGUAGCACUUCACAAAUAGUUGGAUUGUAAAAAGAAGUUAUAUGAGAAAGGUGAGAUGAUAGAAUGAUACCAUAUAAUUUCCAUAAAAUAACAUCACAUACAUUGAAAACUAGAAAUGACAGCAUUUAGUUUAUUCCUUGUCCUCAUUCUUGCUCUAUUGUGCACAUUUAUUAAUUUAGUCACCCUAAGGAGAUGAUCACAUGCUCUUCCAUUCUACUCAUGAUUCUUUCAGGACACUGGAAAUGUGUCAGAACUGUAUAGCAAAUUAAGUUAAUUUAUGUUAUUGCUUUAUCACAGAAUCAUACAGAAUGGCUUGGGUUGAAAGGAACCUCAAAGAUCACCUAGUUCCAAAUCCCCUGCUGCACCCCCCAUAUCCAGUUGACCAGGGCUCCAUCCAGUGUGGCCUUAAACAUCUCCAGGGAUGGGGCAUCCACAACUCUCUGGGCAGCCUGUUCCAGCACCUCACCACCCUCCCUGUGAAAAAGUUCCCCCAGCAUCUAAUCUAAAUCUUCCCAGCUUUGGUUUAAAACCAUUUCCUUUUCUCCUAUCACUCUCUACCUAUUUAAAAAGUUUAUUUCUCUCCUAUUUAUAAGCUGCCUUAAAUACUGGAAGGCCAUAAUGAGGUCUCCCUGGAGCCUUUUCUUUUCCAGGCUGAACAAGCCCAGUUCCCUCAACCUAUCUUCAUAGGAGAGGUUCUCCAGCCUUCUGUUAAUAUUAGUGGCACUCCUCUUGACCAUCUUCAACAGCUCCGCACCUUUCUUGUGCUGGGAGCCCCAGACCUGAACACAGUAUUCCAAAUGGGACCUCACAAUGGCAGAGGACAAGGGGACAGUCACCUCCCUCUCCCUGCUAGCCACCACUCUUUUGGUGCAGAUGUUGUUGGCCUUCCAGGCCACAAGCACAUACUGCCAUCUCACGUUAUGUUUUUCAUCUACCAGAACCCCUCCAAGUCCUUUUCCAUAUGUAUACAUAUCUGGGAUUUUCUCAAUCCAAGUGCAGCACCUUGCACUUGGUCUUGUUGAACAUCACUUGGCUCACAUGGGCCCACCUUUCAGGUUUGUCCAGAUCUCUUUGGUUGGCAUCCUUUCUUCUGUCCUAUCAAUUAUGCCACUCAACUCAGUGUCAUCAUGGCGACUGAUGAUGCACUCAAUCCCAUCAUCUAUGUAAUUGAUGAAGGUGUUAAAGAAUACUUGUCCCAAGAUGGACCCAGGGGGGAUACUACUUGUCACUGGCCUUUAUCUGGACAUAGAGCCAUUGACCACAUCCCUCUGACUGCAACCUUCCAACCAUUUUCUUAUCCACCAAAUAUUCCACCCUUCAAACCCAUAUCCCUCUGAUUUAGAGAUAAGGAUGUGGCAUGGGACCGUGUCAAAAAUCCAUCUCAUAGCUUGCAGAAUUUGGAAGGCCGUGUCUUUCUAGAGCUGUCCAUCAUCCAGACUAACCUCUUAUUACAGAGAUGUGUGAAUCUAUAUAAGAAGUUUAAGAUAAAUAUUAAUGUGAUAAAUUCUUUGUUCUUCAUUGAGUAUGUGGCUAACUUAGUCUUUAUUUUCAGAACUUUGGAGCUCUUAGGGAAGUACUGUACAUUUUGAAUGGUGCUCAAGGGCCUGAAUGUGUUCAGCAUCAUUUGAAAUAAAUCAGUGGGAUCUGGAACACUGAGCUUCAGACUGGGAGUCUCCCAAAGCCCUGAAUUAUGAAUUAUGAACCCAGCAUUAGCACCCCCUCCAGCAUUUGUCAGCUCUUAGACUCGCAGCGAUCUUCCAGCCUAUCAGGUGAGCUAUAGUAUUUCUCUAUUUGUUUUUAGUCUAUAUUAGAAGUGAGAUAGUUUAGCUUGAAAUUGAAGUAAUUCAGUCUGAAAUAAAAGAGGAAUAUUUUAAACUUGUUCAUCUAACGUGUGCUAUUGGAAGAGAGUUCAUCUACAGAAGUAUAUGAUGCAUGUGACAUCUGUCUUAUGUGCUGUCUUUCUGUGGUAAGGAAAGUCAAUGUUUAAUCACCUUUCUCACAAAAAUAACAUUAAAAUGGUCAAAAAUAAUCAAAAUAUAUUUAUAUGAUGAACACAGAAGAAGCUUUUAAAAAUACCAAGUAUUCUGAGAAAUCCUCUCUUCUUGGUAUAACUUAACUCAUUCAGAUGGUAACAUUAAAAAUAUUUUGCUGAUUAUGGGAUGUUAGUGAGGUUUUUUUUUGUUUGUUCUGUUCUCCAUUUUUUUAUCUUGAAAAAUUUUGGUAACUUCAUGAACUGUUUUGAACAUACAUUAUCAAUGCUUAUAAAGUUCAAUUACUGUAUCAUUCCUAUGACAAAUGAUGAUCAAUGAAAACCUGUAGGAAAGCAAAUGGUCUUACACCAUAUUACUAAAGUUUAAGACAGAUAAAAAUAUUUGUUUCAUCCUUGUUUCCUGAAAGAGUUAGGUCUUCUGUGGAAAAAUAUAGGAAAGGGUUUCAUGUCCUCAUGUACAUAUCUAAAGAACCUAAUAUAACUCUUCUUAAAAAAUGCAUCUAACAUUUCUUAAAUCUUCCAUCUUUAAUACUUAUGAGCACAGUUAAUUUUAUUUUAAUUGGUGAGUUCAUAAAACAUCAGGAUUCAUCUACCUCCAUUUUUUAAUUCACAUUUUCUGACAUUCUCAAUUUCAUCUACUCCACUUUCCAUUAUCUCAUGUUGUUUUCCAUUUUAUAGCCUCUGUACACCACUUAAGCACAUUUUUUGAGAUAAGGUCUGAACACCAUUUCCACAUUUCCUACUUGUAACAACCUCAAAGAGGCAUUUUCUUGCAGGAACACCAGAGGCCUGUGCAGUGAGCAGUGUGCCUGUUUCUGUUUGUUAUGCAGAGCAAAGUAGAUAUUGAGGAGCUAAGCAAAUAAAAGGCCUGGAAGGUUUUCACAGUUUCUAAGGACUUCUUGACCCUAAGAUGUCUGCAGAUGAACAUGACUUAUUCCAAAUAUUUUUGAUUCAAUCAAAACUCAUUUUGUAAUUAUGAGCAUCAUUCCCAAUGUUUCAUUAAUUUUUCAGACACAUGGUAUGAGUCAAGUGUAAAUGAAGAAUUAGGUCUUACUUUUUUGUUCUUGUAUCCUCUUAUUUUUUGUUCCAAUUUUCACAGUUAGUUCAAAAUUUGGUCUAGCCCUUGUAACUUCACUCAUACCUUGUAACUUGUAUAACUAAUUUUUACAUUGCCAAAUGUGUUUUCAUUCCUAUCUUUUGCAUUGCUUCUAUUUUGUUCAGUAUUAAUGUGACCAGAAGCAAGGAAUAAUGACCCUUGACUUUUGUAAAGUAGAUCCAUAAAUGUAAAUAUUUCUAUCUGUAUUUCUAUUGGGAUUUCACCUUUUGAUGGUUGGAUUAUGAGUCAAUGUGUAUCGUAACUAUUUUAAUACUAAAAAAAUCCAUGAAAAUUUAUACUUUGUUAUAGGAAUUGAUACAAAAACCCAAUCAAUAUAAACCUUUUCUUUAUAAAUCCAGAGGUGGAUUUUUGUACAAUAUUCUGUCAUCAUGUGGAAUUGUUGAAUCAAGCUUCCCAGGACAUUUGAAUUGCAUUUUAUGAAGUUAUAUGACGUUGAAAGAGCAAUUCAGUGUUUUAUGCAUGUGCCUGUGGUGGCUGUGCUCUUCCACAGCACUAACUGUUGAGAAUUACAAUCGUAAAGUCUGUAGGUUUAAUUCAGGAGUUUUCCAUCAACUGUUGCUUUCACACUGGCUUUCCUUCUGGCUUUGAGAUCAAUUUACACACAGGAUUCAGCGUUUUGUCCUUCAGUAGACAGAAAUGCUUUCAUCUUAUUCUUCCCUCUGGACCAAAGAGGAAGUGCAGUCUGAGUACAUAUGAAGCAAUUGCACAAUUCUAGCAGAGACACAGGCAGCCUUAUUCAUAUAUUUUGUUAUUGGAUUAGGAAAAAAGUAAAGUAAUAACACAUGAGAAAUAAAAGUAACUCUGUCACCAUCCUGAAAUAUUCCUAAACAUUCAGUAACACCAUAAGAGAGGCCUGUAUUCACUACAAACAAUAAAACCGUAGCAUUAAACUAAUCAAAUUCAAAUCUGUUCAACUGCAUAAUUUCAGUGAAGAGGUACUUAUGAAACACAAAAUGAACUUUAAAAUGGAAGGCUCUUUGCUUUGUAAUCAAAAGCAGUCAGAUUUAAACAUCAGCCAGUUAGGUGAUAAGUUUGUCAUUUUUCACCUGCAGUCUUGGAGAGAAUUUGCCCAAAAGGCUUGGCAGACUUUAAACUUCACAGAGCAUUUUCGCCAACUGAUGAACCUCAUUUUGAUAAACUCGAAGAACUGGGAGGGUGGGAGGAGAGGCAGGGUAACAGUAGUUCUAUUAAAAUACUUUUGCAUCAAUCAAGUUGGGUUUAUGGUGUGAAAAAUACAUAGGUCCUGAAAAUAAACUUCACUGCUCUGCAGAUCUGAUUCUUUCUUGUCUGUGUCUGGCUACUUUGGAGAAGUACAGAGAUGCAAUACAUCAUUAAAAGCCAGAAAUCAGACCUUAUGGAUCCCAGAAGGUGAACCUAUAAUCAAGUCUUUACUGGGGGCUUCUUGGCAAGGCUAUCUCCAGCCACUGUUCCUGGCCUCAUAUAAGGUGUUCUAGAAAGGGGUUCCUCCAGCCGUGCAUCAGGACAAGGAACCAAGUGCUCCAGAGAGCCAAGUGAAUUGUUACCUGUCACAGCAUCCCCAUGUUCAUCUCUUAAUACUUGUGGGUGUGAUACAAACCACCUAAAAGAGAUUCACUGCCUCUUUUACAGCCCAGACUAGACAGUUUCCUGUGUUCCAUCAGUGCAGUUCUACUGCUGCACAUUUUGGUUUGGUUAGCAGGACUUUAAUCAAGAAAAAAAAAUCUAAUGAGCAGCAAUUUGAAAUACAGCAUUUGGAAAGGUCAAAAUGGUACAUUACAUCCCUAUUAUCCAAAAGAACAGAUGAGUUUAAUAUCCUGACAGCAUUUUCCUGUGAAGAAGAUAUUAAACAAGAACUGAAAAUGGCACAAGGUUCCCUCUUCCUUUCUUUUGACAAAGACUGUAACAAGAUGAUGAAAUUGUACAGAAUAAAUCUCAUCCUGCUUUAAUGUUCAGAUUGGGGAUCCUGCCUAGAUUUCAAAAAUCUAAGCUAAUAAAAGAGACAAAACAUAUGUUAUUUGUUUCAGGUAUAUCCACAUGAAGCAGAAGACUUUUACUAUACAUUUUCCUACUUACAUGACCCAGUUUCCAUCAAUAUUUUCUAGAUUUAAAAAUAGGAAUAAUUGGUAACAGAAGGUACAUAAUGCAUCUAAUUUCAAGAAGUAAAGCAUUGAACUGCAACAGAUAAUGCACUGCAUCAAAACAGCUUAAAAUGUAAAUUUUUCAGCUUCCAUAUGAAAGACUGCAGAAUACAAAGAAUAAAUUCCAACACACAAUGCACUGUAUGUAUUCUGCUUUGGUGAGUCCUUGGCAGUGUGGAACUGUUUGAAGGCAAAGGAAUUUGCACUAUAUCCCGUUGAUUGUUAGCAAUUCAAUUAAUAUAUGGAACUGUCACGAUUUGUUGUCUUAAAUCUUGUUAAAUUGGCCCUCGUGUUAAAUCUUAUUAUUACAACCAAAAAAUGCUGUGCUUAAAAAUCAAAACAUGAGUAUACAGCACACACCUUUAUUAAUAUGACAUGCACUUGUAUUCAUUCCACAUGAGAUAUGAGAAGUCUGCUGUUACAUAAGAGCAUAACAAGUUAUAUAAUAAAGACAUUCAUGAUUAUUAAAGAAAAACAAAUUAUAUGAUUCCAAAAGAUACACAUCUUCAAGUAUAACUGGCUGAAGUAGACGUACAUGGCUUUGAAUAAGAACUCGUAAGUAGAAAUCAUACAGAACCUCUUUUUUUCUUCACCAUCUAGAGAAUACAUCUGAAAAAAUAUCUCUGUGGUGCUUUACGUGCAGUACCUUGCUGAGAAAACCCAUUCUGCUUUGGCCAAGAGAGAGAAAAUGAACAUGCCCAAAAUAUGUUUUUCAAGCCUUGAGUGGAAAAAAAAAUGUUUUUUGGGUUUUUUUUUUUUUCUUUUUCUUAGGUGAUCUUAUUUUCCACUAGAAAUUGUAGAUACAUCCUUUGUUUUGCAACUGAAAUGCAAGAUAGCUUUUUAAAAGUGUUGGCAAUGUGUGACCAAUUUUGAAACUUCAAAGGUUUUGCAAAACUAUAGAAAAGAAGAUCCCUGAAGGGUGCUAAUUUCCAUAGGCAUUUAUGAAAUGAGUGUUUUCCAUGUAUCUAAAAGAAAUCCACUGGAUAACAUUUAAAGUUUAUAGAGAGUUCCUUGUGAUUUAGUUAAUAGCUCCUGAAACUAAAAUGACAACAAAUAGCUCUUUUCUGUUUCCCAACCAGAAAUACGAGCAGAGUAUGAAGCGUCCAGAAAAUAAUAAGCAAAACUGUUUUUCAGUGAAUUAUUGUUCAUAGUUCAGAUCCAUGGAUUUUUAUCAUGCAAAUUACAAAGAAUUCAGACCAUAUAUAAUUCUGCUAUUAAGAAAUAAAUUAUAUGCUGUUGUUAUCCGACUUUUGAAAAUCAGUAUGGAAUGACUGAGUAGAGAACCCAGCCUACUGAGGAGAGUCUCAUCAUGUAAUGGCACAAACAACUUCAGCAAUUCUUAGAGAGUGAGUACCAAAUAUCUGUAGAAGACAGUGGCAUUUGUUACACUUUCUUUCAGUUUGCUCCUGACUAUGCAAAAUGCUGUUACUGCGUCACACACUAUUUAACAUCGGAACUACCUUGAAUACAUUAGGCAGGUUUAUUUAGUUAUUUCAUGAAAUAGAUUUUUUCCAGUAGGUGAUCACAGUAAAUCUGUUUUGAAAAAUUACCAAAAUAAUCAAGUGUAUCUUGUGAACCAAUAUACCAGUUUGUAGUGAAAUUUUAAGAGGUACUUACUUCCCUUACUUACCUUCAAUAAAUCAGAUGGUGGUUGGGCAUUGCCGUGAAAUCUUUCACUAAUGAAGGAAGGACGUUAAGAAUAAAAUCUGACUGUAAAAUGUUGGACCUGCGAAACCAUAAAUUACAUCUCAAAGCAAGGGAUAUUCCUUAAAUUAAUGGCAGAUUUAAAAUAAUAAUUCAGCUGAUGGAAAAUGUUUUGAAUUGAAACAAGAUCCUAAAAGUGAGAAGUCAAAACACAGCUGACCAUGUGCAGCACACACAUUCCCACACACUUGGCUUUGUUCCAGGAGGAGCUGGUUUAUUGUAAUCCCAGUAAGAAAGGUACCAUGAUGCAUUGCUUAAAAUACAACUUACUACAGCUAAUACUGUACCGAAAAUGAGUGCAUUACACAUAGUUGUUUGUUCCUUUGGAUACUGGGAACCCCGUGAUGGGACUCCAAGCAGGGCACAGCAUCCUGUGCAGAACUUCUGCAUAGAAAAGCUACCCAGUAUUCUAGUCUUUUGAGUGCUUCUAGGGCUUUCCUAACAGAAAAUAAUUCUGCUUACCAUUUCUACUGUCAAACUAAGAAGAUGUGCAUGUGGGAAUUUGUCACUGCUAUUUCACAUAAAGGCAAGGAGAAGCAGGUGAUGCAAUUGACAGUACCAUGUGGGAGCUGCCCAUAGGCUGCUUUGUUAUCCAGUGAGGUCUGUCCUGCAAAGAGCAGAUGCACAGCCCACAGCACAGACUUGAAGGUUGAGCACAGUGUGGAACAUAGUGCAGAUCUGCCCCUGCAGAGGGAAACUGCUAUGUGGAUCACUAAUUCCUCCAUGUUUGAUGGUCUUCAGGUCAGGAUCUCUGCACAUAUAUGCAUACAUACCUGUUUUAUAUCUGCAUUCUUUUGUGCUCCAUAGUGAUGCAUUGUAUUCAAAUCUAUCCACAUUCAAAAUCUGCACGUCUAUUGCAAAUGCUCCUUUAUUCAUGUCUCUGUGUCCAUCAAGCUGGAAUUGUGCAGGAACUCAGAUGGGCUUAUAAUUACACAAUUUGUACCUCCAAAGGCUUUUAAAAGUCUAUGUAGGUAUAUUUUUGCAAGCAUGAUUGUUGUGCCUGCAGCUCAAAAUCUGGUUAUACUUGCAUUUGAGUUUGUUUUGUUUAGUAACACAAUGCUACUCGAUAUUACAUGAAUAAAUCAUCUAUAAGCUAGAAAACACAUCAAAAUCGGAGGAACAAAGUCAGUUGCAUUAUUAAAGAGAGAAAAUAAUUUGACAUGAAAGGCGUUUUAGAGACAAUACAGCCUGUCUGAUUUACUGAUGUGCACGGAAACUAAUAUAUCAUUCAGCCUUGCUACCACAUGACAGCUGUUCUGCAUCUGAUGGGAAAUGUGAUGGUGCUCACAGUCCAGUUCAUACUGGACAGGUGUUGACAUCACAAAAAUCAUCAUCAGAACUGGCACUAAUUGGCACCUUUGUUGACAGCCUCAUCAGAGAGGCCAGUGAUUGAAUCAGCAUGGAUGCUGCCUUGCAAGCUCCGCUGGUAAGGGAUACUGGGCUCAGCUCUUCCUUCACUGAAAUCAUCCUGAGUUUUGCACAUACUUCAGCUCCUGAUGCAAUUUGCCUGUAAAUUCUGUAUGCAUACACACUGCCAUGGCAUACACGUUGAAGUGAUGCCCCCAUACAUAGUGGGCACUGAAACCUGUCCUCCGAAUUUGGCCAACAUAAGAGACCGGAGGCUUAGGUUUGUGAGGAAACAAGACCAAAGCAGGUGGAACCAAAGACUGCUGAUGUUGCAGUCACAUAUCACCCACUAAGAGCUCCAUUCUCACCCAGGCUUUUAUCAAUUUUAGUUUAAUUUAAAUGGAACUGUGGGUUGGUGGACUUCUACUAGCCACUUUACUCCUCCAUGCCUCAGUUUAUUCUUUCACAUGAGGGUCAUAAUGUUUGUCUCAGUCUCAGAUAUAGUUAGGUGUUGCUAAUUAAAGAAUUCCUUAAAGAAUUUUAACAGGUUUGAUGGAAGGCAAUAGACACAUUAAAACUCAGGCUUCACAUUUAUAGGAACACUGGUUUCUUUAUAAUGCCUUUGAAUUGUAGGCAGUUACUAUUGCAUGCAUCCUUUUUGCAUUUAACCAUCUUUCCAUUCACUCUGUUGAAUAUUAAGUUUUUUCUCCUCUCAGCCUGGAUUGUUCAAAUUAGUGCUUAAAAUUAAUUUUUCUUUGGUAUACAGAAACCUAUAUUGUUUGUGGGUUAAUUAUCACUUUUUUUUUAGCUCUAGAGAAAUGCAAUAUAGGUCAAUAAUGUGACUGAAUAAUUUGAGAAUAUUUUUAUGGCAAUAAAAAGAAGUAAAAAAUGUGUGAUAAUUUUGAUCAUAUUUAAUAGCAGUAACUAAAGUAUAUAGAGAUUAUUAGAGCUCACUAGUGCAAUUUUUCAGAGAAGGAUGAAAGGGAGAAAGAGAAUGAGAAGGAAGGAAAUGAAGGAAAGAAGAAACGAAGAAAGAAUGAUAGAAAAAAGUAUAAAGGUCAGGAAAAAUAAAUAAAAUUUUAAAAUAAAUAAAUAAAUAAAUAAAUAAAUAAAAGAACUGUUCCAGUUUCAUGUGUAUGGAAAAGAAUUUGUUGGACAAGGAAAUGUCAGUAUGUAGAUGUAGUGGAAAUGCAAGUCAUGUCUUGAAGCAGUGAUUGAGCACCUGGUGGAAAGACGGGCCACCCCAGGGGAGCUCAGGUGCAUGCAAUGCUGCUGAGUGACCGGGAGGAGUGGAGCCAGGAUCCACCUCUUCCCAAACCACAUUUAAGUGCUGGCAAAGAAAAUGAGGGGAUCUCACUGGAGAUCUCUAUGUACAUGAAAUCUUCAGAAGGUAAGCAGAG